AGAUAGAGUUAGGCAAAAUAUUCAUAAAUUUGAUUUGAUUAGUUAUCCGUUUUGAUUCGAACCAAAAAAUCUGGAUAUCCGUAACUCUACGAAGCAAAUCAAUAAAAUGCAAUAUCCAUAAAAAAAAGCAAAGCACAUAUACCAAUAUUUUUAGGAACGAAUAUCCAAUUUGAUCCGUUAUAUGCAUAUAUGUAUACAUAUCUAUAAAUAAUUGUAUAUAUGUAAGCUAUAUAUAUAUUAGGAUUUUUAAUGUAAAAACCCCUCAAUUAAGUUUAUUUUGGGUUAAACCCCCUAAAUAAAAGAUUUAACAGAAAAACCCCCCAACCUAAAUUAUCUUAAUGAAUCAGACUCUCCGUUAAUUGUCCGUUAAAGUUCGUGAAACAACACGAUUUGUUAAUAAAAACAACACAAUGUUUAACUAAAAAUAUCAUGUAGUUUACCAUUAUCACUUUUAACUUAACAGUUUUAAGUGUCGUAAAAGUCCCAUUACUGAGAGAUACGAGGGAUGAACCCUAAUUUUCGAAAGAAAGAUUUUGAUUAUCGUUAAUUUAGUUCUUGUGAGAAUCUGAGAGAAGCUGUGUUCGUGAGUUCAAACACAAUGACAAUCUUAACUCUUGACAUAAAAUAAGUACAAAAACAACACUUGAAACACAAUCAAAAUGUCAUAGAAACAAGUUAAAACAACACUUUCACCACUAAAACAAGCUGCAACCACAACUCUAUCUUAACAACUUAAUUUAGUUAGCUUUUAACCAAACUGACUUACUUUUAUUCUUCUGGUUGUGUAACUACACAACCAAGUCUUCUUCCUUUCUUGCUCUUCUUCUUCUUCUUCUUCUUUUUCUUCUUCUUCUUCUUCUUCCUCCAUUUCUUGCGCUCCAAGCUUCUUCUUCUUCUUUAUUCUUCUUCUACGUGACUCCUUGAUCACUUCUUCUUUUUGUGUGGCAAGCUUCCUUGCUUCCACUUCUUCUUCUCUUAGAGGAUUUAAUCAAGAUUCAAUCUCAACACUCAAUGUCAAAACAAUAGCCAAAGCUCCUCUGUGUAUUUCAGGAGCUAAUUCCAUUCAAAUUUCGCCUAAAUAGCACAAUCAAUUGAAAACAAAACUUUAAACAAAUUAGAAAAAUCACAUAACAAAGUGAAAGCAAAAGAGAACAAAACGAAAGGCAUAAGGUACACGAAUCACCAGGGAGAAGAUGAACAAUUAUAAACUUGAAAAUUUGAAGAACCCUAAUUUUAACUUUGGGACUCGCCAUACAGAUAUAAGGAAGAAGAAAAUCAUGUCGUUUUUUU
rnacentral:lncRNA from 1 species